rnacentral:rRNA from 1 species
AGCGAACGCUGGCGGCAGGCCUAACACAUGCAAGUCGAACGAACCUUUCGGGGUUAGUGGCGGACGGGUGAGUAACACGUGGGAACGUGCCUUUAGGUUCGGAAUACCUCAGGGAAACUUGUGCUAAUACCGAAUGUGCCCUUCGGGGGAAAGAUUAAUCGCCUUUAGAGCGGCCCGCGUCUGAUUAGCUAGUUGGUUGAGGUAAUGGCUCACCAAGGCGACGAUCAGUAGCUGGUCUGAGAGGAUGAUCAGCCACAUUGGGACUGAGACACGGCCCAAACUCCUACGGGAGGCAGCAGUGGGGAAUCUUGCGCAAUGGGCGAAAGCCUGACGCAGCCAUGCCGGGUGAAUGAUGAAGGUCGUAGGAUUGUAAAAUUCUUUCACCGGGGACGAUAAUGACGGUACCCGGAGAAGAAGCCCCGGCUAACUUCGUG